GCUAGCGUAAAUAUCUCCUUACGUGAGCGCGAUUUCAUAUAUCACUUGACCUCUAACAAUCGUAACAAAGGGCUACUCGCGGAUACAAAAAAAAAAACUAAGCAAUUUUUUUAACUUGACAUCCGCUAAAACAUUAAAGAGGCCAAGAACCUUCCCGCUUGCUUCCAAGUAUAAAAACCCAUAGCAGUUCCAGAACUUUACACAGUGGCCGUCAAGGCAGAAACGGAGACCAACUCAAGCCUUCAGUCUUCAUCGUAAGGCCAUUCGCCAUGAAGUCCUAUGUUAUCUUGGCGCUCGUCAUCCUGGGGCAUCUGUGUCAAAUUCACGCAGCCACGCUCAGCAAGCCGGCAAAGAACACAGACGACGCAACAAAAAGACUGACGAAAGAAAUUUCCCAUUCCCUCAUGGAGCACCGUGAUGACAUCAUUGAAGCAUUCAAGGCACAUGAAAAGUCUGUAAACAGCUUCGGCGACGAAACCGAUGAACAGGCAAUUCCGGCCAUAGUUUUGGCUAUCGCGGCGGCCAUUGCAAACGCUGCGGUAUCUGGCGCUGUUGGCGCUGGUGUCUCGGCGGCAAUUAGCAGAGGCUGAAAGAAUCUCUG